GUCGUACGGGCUGGGGAAUGACAUCAGAAUCUUCCUAUCCCUGGGGAUCCUUCUUGUCCUCUCAGUUAUUGUGGGGGAAGACUUCAGAAGCAGACAGAGGAAGCACCAUGGGGAUGAUCACCAUGGCUGAAAACCGGCGGAGACGUAGGACUCUAAAGCUCUGUGCCACACAUCUUCCACGUAUGCUCCUAAGGCUGUCUGGAUUGGGAACCGUGGAUGUUUUGCCUUUGUUCGGGAGCUUAAACCACCAAACAUCCUCUACCAGCAAAUCCUUAUGUCUUGUUAUCUAAUGCCAAUGGCUAACGAAAGGACGGUUUGGACACUUACUCAUCCAUCUUGCUGGUGGGAAGAGGUUGUGCUGCAUCACUCUUUCAUAGAUCUGCAGUAGAUGGAGUCCUUUCGCAUCAUCGGGGCAACAUUCAGCAUUAUAGUGGAACUAGUAAAGGAGAUAUGCAGCCAAAAAGGAAUUACGUACGGCCUCCUGUGCCAGUGGAAAAAAAGAGUGGUGAUUGCUUAGUAUAGGCUGACAUCCUCAGCUGAAUACAGGGUUAGGGUUACUCAGCUGAGUACAGGGUAGUUAGCAAUGUAUUUUGGGUGCAUAAAACCACAGUUCAUCUUUGUACUUACAAGUUUGUCAACUCCCUUGUUCAGAGGCACUGCAACACGUACAUAGCUAUGCCAGAUGUAACUGAAGCAAAAGGGAGUGCUCUGCAGGACCGUUCUGCUUCUCCCGAAUGGCACCUCUUUGAUUGUUAAGUGGCGGGCGGACGUGCGUUGUCUUUGGACAUAGCUGUAUCAAAAGCAAGGGAAUUCCUUUACAGACAUUUAUUAAGCAGCUCACUUGCUCUUCGUGUUUAACUUUAGCGUCAUUUUUACAACAAGGGUAUUCUCAAACAGCAGCUUUAAUACUAUAAUCAUUAUCAUUAAGGUGAACUACACCACCGCUAACCGUAAAACCACCUAUCAACCUAACAACUGACCUGCUCCCUUGCAAUAUUUACAGUGAUGUCACUAAGGAUAAACAUUGUGUACUUGUCAGUAUUCUUGCAGCAGCAGCAUUCUGGACCAGUUGCACUAUUCAGAUAAUUUUAUUAAUGUUAUUUUUUGUUAGAAUUAAAAAAAUGUAGAAUGUUUAAAUUGCUAUUGAUGUGUUAUUUUAUUCUGAAUAAAGCAAAACUGAUGGUACUCUGUUGUGUACUGCACAGCUAAUAUGGUGCUAUAGCUUUAAUAGGAAGACCGACGACGUCAAAAUGAUCUAGACAGCAUUCAGAACUGGGCAGACACAUGGCAAAUUACAUUUAAUAGAGAAAAGUGUAAGGUACUGCACACAGGCAGCAAAAAUGUGCAUUGUAACUAUCAUAUGGGAGAUACUGAAAUUGAAGAAGGAAUCUACGAAAAAGACCUAGGAGUUUAUGUUGACUUAGAAAUGUUUUCAUCUAGACAAUGUGGGGAAGCUAUAAAAAAGGCCAACAAGAUGCUCGGAUAUAUUGUGAAAAGUGUUGAAUUUAAAUCAAGGGAAGUAAUGUUAAAACUUUACAAUGAAUUAGUAAGACCUCAUCUAGAAUAUUGUGUUCAGUUCUGGUCACCUCGUUACAAAAAGGAUAUUGCUGCUCUAGAAAGAGUGCAAAGAAGAGCAACCAGAAUUAUCCCGGGUUUAAAAGGCAUGUCAUAUUCAGACAGGCUAAAAGAAUUGAAUCUACGCGGUGAUCUGAUUCAAGCAUUCAAAAUUCUAAAAGGCUUUGACAAUGUAGACCCAGGGGACUUUUUCGACCUGAAAAAAGAAACAAGGACCAGAGGUUACAAGAUUAGAUAAAGGGGCAUUCAGAACAGAAAAUAGGAGGCACUUUUUUACACAGAGAAUUGUGAGGGUCUGGAACCAACUCCCCAGUAAUGUUGUUGAAGCUGACACCCUGGGAUCCUUCAAGAAGCUGCUUGAUGAGAUUCUGGGAUCAAUAAGCUACUAACAACCAAACGAGCAAGAUGGGCCGAAUGGCCCCCUUUCGUUUGUAAACUUUCUUAUGUUCUUAUAUGUUCUUAUGAGCACUGUGACAUUGCUGCUGACUGCUUGAGUUAGGCUGUGUCUUCAGAAGAUUCUGCAGAUCAGAUUCGGGUUAAGUGAAUUUUCGGUCAACCCCACCCCGAGCACAAAAAGAUUUCAUUUUAAUUAACCCCGACCCGAUGUGGUCGACCAGAUCUAGAUGGGGGUGUAUUUCUGGUUGGGGUCCUAACAUAUAUGUGAUUCGAUGAUUACAUAUUAGAUUAGGGGGCAGAUUCUCCUUUCAGAAAAACAACUACAUUUCCAAUGUAUUUUUAAAAUAUGAUGAAAUAUGUAUUAUAUGCAAUAUAUUUGGUUAUCCAAAAUAUAUCGUAAUAUACUGUUCAAUCAAUAUAUUAGACUGUAUUUUCAAAUAUAUUGUAAUAUACAGUGGAACCUUGCUUAAUCAACCUUCAUUGUGAAGUGCACCCCACUGCACCAUCUGCAUUCCCAAAAAGAAAAAAAAAACUAUGUUAAAUAACCUCAAUUAUACAAUCAGCAUGCUGUACACUGCCAAUGAGUUUUUAAAAGGAAAAAAUGAACUGUGUGGAUGCAAUUAGCUGGGUUUGCUGAAGAUGGUUCUAAAGGCUAUUUGUACCUAAUAAAAUGCUGCUCUCUUACAGACACCAAUGGACAAUAAACCGGCCCAUCCUUCAACGCUGUCCUUUGAUCUGCAGUGCAGGUGUAACACAUCUUGUAAUACGACACAAACAACUCACAAGUUAGAAAGAAAUAUCCUGCGAGGAAAAGGAGAGAUCUACAAAAAGCACCACUUUGUGAAAGCAAAGUAAAAGUGUUGCUGUCUUGUGUUCUCUGAUAGCAUGUACAAGCUUAUUGUAAGACUGUGAGACAUUUAGUUGUUUUUUAACAAGUUUCUGAAUUCAACAUUGCUGAUUGUAUAAAGUGUUACUGAACACCCUGCAGUGUUUACUAGAAACCCAAUACUUUGCUUUUGCUGUAUCUAUUUGUCAUACCUUCUUCAAUUUAUUCAUGUUUUUUUUCACACCUCAUGGAAAUACAUUUCUCAGGAGUGUUUAUCAGGAGAAGAUCAUUUCUCUUAAAAUCAUCACAGUGUAUCCAGAUCAGGCUCCCGCUUAUAACAAAGCUGGUGCUCUGAAUGAGUGAUGAGUUGUGGGAACAGGAAAUUAGCGUUGUGACAAGAGGGAGCAUGAACUUGAUACACUGCAGUUUGAUUCAUAAUUCACACAACAAUGUCAAUGAGAUUUGCUAUGAUUUCCAUCUUGCACACUGAACUUACAGCACAGAGCUGCAGAGUGCUGCUGACAUUACAGGGUUACUGUUAGCUUCAUUAGUCACACACACACACACUCUUUAUUAUGUAGAUGAAAAUGGCAUUUCUUUUGGAUAUGUUUAUUUUGUUGUGCAUAAUAAAUAUUUUGAUCUAA